rnacentral:misc_RNA from 1 species
UCUCCGUAGGUGAACCAGCGGAGGGAUCAUUCCGAUGUUUUAAACUUAAAACCAAUCUUUGAACUUUAUAUCUACUAUUUGCGCGGAUCGUAUCCUUAUAAGUUUCUUAACACUUUCAUUCAAUGAACAUUAGAUAGCUGGCUUGUUUUUACAAAAACUAUCUCAACUGAUUUAUCGUUAGACUAAAGAUCUAUUCAAAUAAUCAACCAAACAUAAAAACAACUCUCUGCACUGCAUACCUUGGUUCUCGAAUCGAUGAAGAACGCAGCCGAUCGAAAA